CCAGCCAUACCUGACCCUAACGACAGAUGGCAGCAAAUUGGCAUUUUAGAAUCGGCAACCACUGCGGAAGAGUUAUUAUAUGGUCCAGGAAUCGAUGACUCUUUGUAACUUGGAAACAAAAUUUCUUCUGAACAAAAAAAAACGAAGUAUACUUGCAGAAUGCUGGUCACCGCAAUUCGCCUUUUUUCUUAAGGCGCCACUUCAAUGGCUCAUAUCUCCAAAAGUUUUUGUUAAAAAAAUUUUUUUUUUCUUUUAAAUUACAGCUUUUUACAUGUACUUUUAACUAAUAAAUAGUAUUCUUUAAAAAGA